rnacentral:rRNA from 1 species
CGAAGCCCAACAGAAAGUAGCUUUAACCAAACUGAUGCCAGGAAAGUCAAGAACACACUGGGAUUAGAUACCCCACUAUGCUCGACUAUAAAUCAAAAUGUAAUCUUACAUACACAUCCGCCCGGGUACCACAAGCACAGCUUAAAACCCAAAGGACUUGGCGGUGUCUCAGACCCACCUAGAGGAGCCUGUUCUAGAACCCCCUAACCCCCGUUAAACCUCACCACUUCUUGUUCUUCCCGCCUAUAUACCGCUCGUCGUCAGCUUACCCUGUGAAGGACAAGCAGUAAGCAAAAUGGGCAUGCCCAAAAACGUCAGGUCGAGGUGUAGCGUACGAAGUGGGAUAGAAAUGGGCUUACA